rnacentral:rRNA from 1 species
AGAGUUUGAUCAUGGCUCAGAGUGAACGCUGGCGGCAGGCCUAACACAUGCAAGUCGAGCGCAGCGCGGGGCAACCUGGCGGCGAGCGGCGGACGGGUGAGGAAUGCAUCGGAAUCUACCCUGUCGUGGGGGAUAACGUAGGGAAACUUACGCUAAUACCGCAUACGACCGAGAGGUGAAAGUGGGGGACCGCAAGGCCUCACGCGAUUGGAUGAGCCGAUGCCGGAUUAGCUAGUUGGUGGGGUAAAGGCCCACCAAGGCGACGAUCCGUAGCCGGUCUGAGAGGAUGAUCAGCCACACUGGGACUGAGACACGGCCCAGACUCCUACGGGAGGCAGCAGUGGGGAAUAUUGGACAAUGGGCGCAAGCCUGAUCCAGCCAUGCCGCGUGUGUGAAGAAGGCCUUCGGGUUGUAAAGCACUUUUGUUCGGGAAGAAAUCGUGCGGAUUAAUACUUCGUACGGAUGACGGUACCGAAAGAAUAAGCACCGGCUAACUUGGUGCCAGCAGCCGCGGUAAUAC